UUAAUUCCAUAACUCAGUUAUUCCAUAACUCAGCGAAACAGAAGGUGUACAGGCUCAAUUAAAACAACGCGUACCCCAAAAUAGGCUCCUUACUACAGCAAAAUAAAUAGGUAGUUCACAUGCAAAGUAGCUUAUCGCAUAUUCCUGGUAAUUAAUGUCUCAAUCUCAUCUGAGGGACCAGAGCACCUCGUGUCACAGUGAUGCACAGUACUGAGCACCAAGCCCACCUGGUGUAGCAUAGGAGAGGGAUCAUCAUCUCAGACAAGUUGGUCACCUGGUAAAAUACUGACAAGGUAUUCAGCUGGGAUAUGGAAAUCCACAUUAUGUGCCUUACAGGGAUCUGUUUGCCAACACCACUCCUGCCUCAGUGGCUGAUAACAAGAUGGCACAUGGAUUAGAGAUACCUUAGUUACAAAGGCACCAGGUCAGUCAUUCUAAAGUAUUUAACCACUUAACUCUCCGCAAAGAAAAAGACAUUGUUACCAAGACUUGCACUUGAAUUAUAAGGAAUUCUCUCCCCCCCGGACACAGAUAAAUCAGAAUCAGCCACAAUUAUAUUCAUAUUAAUCAUUAACACCAUAACAAAACCCAGUGACGAAAUGUUUUAGAGGCUCAUUAACAAGGGCAUAACGUACACACUUUUAUUUAAACAUGGCAAUUUACACAACAGCUAAUUUCCACACCUCCCCUCCCCCCAGAAAGCCUGAAAACAGGAUAUCAGAAUUAGCACCUAAUGUUCAUAAAACCAAUAAAUGCUUCGCAUUAUGAUUUACUGCAAGCAUUGGUCAGAUCCUAAGCAAUGUGGACAACAUGGAUAUAUGAAAUAACCCAACUUGCUGUCAAUGUCUGGUUCACUCAUUGCUUCACCUUACCAAGUGACUGGUUCUCCCCCAAAGACCAGCAAUGCAUAGUUUAUACAGCUGAGUAUAUGUGACAGAAAGGAACAAACCACAGUUUUGGUCUGAAGUUAUUGCAGUGCAGAUGUACAAUAUGUGUUUACAGAGCAGUGGGACAUACAGAGGUAGGUGACACUCCUCCUUCUUGCUAAGAAUUUAAUGUUGCUUAAGAGUAGCUCAAACUAAGUGGCUCUAUGUUAACUAUCUCAGCUAUGCUGCCAGGUCUGGAUGAACUGAGAGAUUUAAAAUGAUAUAUAAAGUAUCUCACUGGCAUUAAGAAAUUCCACUGCAAGAGGUUACUUGUUUUUUUUUAUAUGGGGUGAACUGUUCUUAAUUUGAAAUUCACUGAUCUGAACAUGUAGUGACAUAAUACUGUAUUCGUCUCGAUGCUCAAUAGCUUCGCAAGGUAAUUGAGGGUCAAUGGAGAUCAGAAGAGUGAUGUUUCGUGAAAAUAAAGUGCACUUUUCUGCUCAGAGCCAUGGCUCACCCUCCUGCUAAAAAGCAGCUUCUAAUUAGAUGAUCUCAUUUAUCAACCAGGGCUGUCAGAAAAGCAAUCAAGACCCAGUCCAGUGAUGGAACCUGAUGGAAACUGCCAGGCAAGGCCAGAAAAGAAAGCCACUUUGGGCAUAAUUCUCGCAUUUUCUCUUUCUCUCCCCAUUUUUGUUCUAAAUUAUGCAGUUCUUAUUAAAAAUCUUCCCUCCUACUUAUGAAGCCCGGCUCAACAUUCUCUUCACAGGUGCUACCAGCAAAGCUGUCACGUGUACCGACACACCAGAGAGAAUGUUGACAUUACAUGAAGAAACAUCAUAUUCUAGAUGGCACUUGGAAUAAAGAAAAACAAAACCACCAAAACCCAGGAGGCUGACAUGAAGAUAAAGCCCUCACGUGCAAGAACACCCUCUCUACAUUCAUCACUUACACCACCGAGCUGAUUGAAA